GAUGAACGCUGGCGGCGUGCCUAAUACAUGCAAGUCGAGCGAACAGACGAGGAGCUUGCUCCUCUGACGUUAGCGGCGGACGGGUGAGUAACACGUGGAUAACCUACCUAUAAGACUGGGAUAACUUCGGGAAACCGGAGCUAAUACCGGAUAAUAUAUUGAACCGCAUGGUUCAAUAGUGAAAGACGGUUUUGCUGUCACUUAUAGAUGGAUCCGCGCCGCAUUAGCUAGUUGGUAAGGUACCGGCUUACCAAGGCAACGAUGCGUAGCCGACCUGAGAGGGUGAUCGGCCGCGCUGGAACUGAGACACGGUCCAGACUCCUACGGGAGGCAGCAGUAGGGAAUCUUCCGCAAUGGGCGAAAGCCUGACGGAGCAACGCCGCGUGAGUGAUGGAGGUCUUCGGAUCGUAAAACUCUGUUAUUAGGGAAGAACAAAUGUGUAAGUAGCUAUGCACGGCUUGACGGUACCGAAUCAGAAAGCCACGGCUAACUACGUG
rnacentral:rRNA from 1 species